rnacentral:rRNA from 1 species
AUUGAACGCUUGCUGCAGGCCUAACACAUGCAAGUCGAACGGUAACAGGAAGCAGCUUGCUGCUUUGCUGACGAGUGGCGGACGGGUGAGUAAUGUCUGGGAAACUGCCUGAUGGAGGGGGAUAACUACUGGAAACGGUAGCUAAUACCGCAUAACGUCGCAAGACCAAAGAGGGGGACCUUCGGGCCUCUUGCCAUCAGAUGUGCCCAGAUGGGAUUAGCUAGGUUGUGGGGUAACGGCUCACCAAGGCGACGAGCACUAGCUUGUCUGAGAGCGUGAACAGCCAGACUGGAACUGAGUCACGGUCCAGACUCCUACGUGAGUCAGCAUUGAGAAAUAUAGCGCAAUGGGCGGGCGCGUGAUGCACCGAUGACUCGUGUAUUAAGAAGGCCUUCGGGUUGUACAAUCCUUUCAUCGGAGAGGAAAGUGCUGUGGUUAAAAACCGAACCAAUUGACGUUACCCGCAGAAGAAGCGCCGGCUAAGUCCGUGCCAGACACCGCGGUAAAAC